ACCAUGAUGAGAUCUGACGAGUUUCCAUCUGCCAGGCUAUAAAAUUGUGUCCAGAAUUUAUGACCUGAUCUGCGAAUGAGGCCCCAACAUAUAUGUGACCAAAGCCUUAUAUGUUCUGCAGCAGCUGAGGUAUGUAUUAGGAGGUUCUG